GCCAGUGUGGCGUAGUGCUUUGAGUGCUGGACUAUGACUCUGAAAGCCAGGGUUCAAAACCCUGCUCAGUUG